GUGGGUCUUUCCAGCUGAUGCAGGUGGAAAGGACAGCGCUCCUGCUGCCGACUCUUAAAGGGCGAGGAGCACGAUUGUUCCAGCGGGGUCCCGUGGACUUUUCCAGGCGUGCUUCGUAAAGAUCUUGUCCUAGGCUGGAGCUACACCCCAAAAAUGUCCCUGUUCCAACUUACAAGCAAAUUCAACUUAAGAACAAACCUACAGAACCUAUCUUCUUCCUAACUUGGGGACUGCCUGUGUGACUAGAAAAUGAACACCUGAGACAUAAUAUAGGACCGAGGCUAUGACAUCAUCCCUUUUGUUCUCCUGUGUUGAUUUCUGACAUCUUUGAUUAAGAAGAAACUAGUGGAGCUUCAAAAGCAUGCAGGAUGUAUGGUGUGCGU